GAUUAGAAACUUUCGGUCGGGUUCAGUUUAAUUUUGAUCGGGUUAGUUAAUACAUUGUUGAGUCUUUUGAUCAGCAUGGACAUGGUUUGAUGUGUGUUCGGUACCACAUAACAUGCGAGAAUACCUUCUCCGGUAUGUUGGAGAGAAGAUUAGCAAGAAAAAAUCGCGUGAGAAAAUGAGAAGUUGACAGAAAAAGAUUUUUUUCAUUAUCGAAAGGGACAUGUACAACAUCCAUAAUGGUGUGUCUGAUGGAAUUUGUCAUUUCAUUAAUAAAUAAUGCUGAUAAAGAUGCAAACUUAGCAAUUGUGCCUAAAAAGUGACAGAUUUGACAAGGAAAUAUAUCCAUAUAUAACAGUUACUGAUACUGUCUGAAUGCAGUGAAAGGAUCCAGAUGAACAGAUGAAGAGAUUAAGUACAAUGUACAUCAAUUACUUGGAUGAAGAGAAUCUGCAACAUGGGGAAAUAAUGUUCCUAUAGAAAAGUCAAAGAAUGUAUACAUGUGAGAUUAUGAAGUAGCCGUACAUGAUGAGUAGGAAUUUGAAGUGAAUUAUGGGAAAAGUGAAAUGGUAAAAAAGAAACUGCUAGCGCUACUGUGCAGACUACCAUCAAUCAACAUGAUCAACAAAAUCAAGUAAUCCUUCUGAAUGGAGUAGUACACAAGCACAAUUUUUUAAAGAAAGAAAAGUCAAUGGAAUGAAAGCCAAAGAAAAGGGAUGUAUUAGUAUGGUAGCCUGUCUGCCAACACCUUGUAGAUGAGAUUCUAGCACAUAUUGUGUGAAAUGGUUCUCUUAAUUGACAUGGGAAGGUCACUAUUUUUUAUCAAGAUAAAAAUUACUUGUAUGUCUUGUAAUAACAUUAUUUAAUAUAUCCCUUUCAUAGCACACAUGUUCGUUUCAAAGAGAAGAAAACAUUUAUAAUUUUUCAAGGUCAAUAAUCUCAUGGAUGAAAUGCAAACUGUACUAUUUGAAAUAGGUGGUAUAGGUAUUUCAGAGUCUGUAUUACAUCUUGCCAGUUUAUUGUUGGAGGGAAUAUUCUCAUCAAAUAAACUAUGUAAAGAUUUGCUUUUUAAUGAAAGUAUUUUUAUAAGUAAUAACUUCAUUUCAACUUACAAUGAACAGUUAAUCAAUGCAUCUCACUUUGUAUCUAAUGCAUUUUUAGAACACAAAUUUGUGGUUUAAAAUAUGUU